AGGAUAAUAGUUAAAUAUAACAUUUGAUUUGCAUUCAAAAAGUACUGAUACACAGUUUAUCUUA
rnacentral:tRNA from 1 species